rnacentral:rRNA from 1 species
UCAGGACGAACGCUGGCGGCGUGCCUAAUACAUGCAAGUCGAACGGUCUUUCUAUGGAAGCUUGCUUCCACUGAAAAGAUAGUGGCAAACGGGUGAGUAACACGUGGGUAACCUGCCCAUAAGAGGGGGGAUAACAUCCGGAAACGGGUGCUAAUACCGCAUAGUUUUCUUGAUCGCAUGAUCGGGAAAGGAAAGACGGCCUUUGUGCUGUCGCUUAUGGAUGGACCCGCGGCGUAUUAGUUAGUUGGUGAGGUAACGGCUCACCAAGACGAUGAUACGUAGCCGACCUGAGAGGGUGAUCGGCCACAUUGGGACUGAGACACGGCCCAAACUCCUACGGGAGGCAGCAGUAGGGAAUCUUCCGCAAUGGACGAAAGUCUGACGGAGCAACGCCGCGUGAGUGAAAGAAGGUUUUCGGAUCGUAAAACUCUGUUGUCAGAGAAGAACAAGUUGGAGAGUAACUGCUCCAGCCUUGACGGUAUCUGACCAGAAAGCCACGGCUAACUACGUGCCAGCCGCGGC